rnacentral:sRNA from 1 species
UAUAUAUAUAAUUAUAAUCUGAAAUUUUCUGAACAAAAAGUUAAACUAAAAACAUGUUAAAAGAAAUGUUAACUUACAAAAAAAGAAGAGGAAACGAUGAUAUCUACCAGAAAUUUAAAAAAUAAAUAAAUCGAAAGGGAAUAGAUGGAAUAAUUAAAGAUUGCAAAAGAUAAGCCCAAAAGAUUUAGGGUUUAGGACUUGCUUUGUAUAUAUAGC